rnacentral:rRNA from 1 species
AACGCGAAGAACCUUACCUGGGCUCGAAGCACAGUGGACCGGGGUAGAAAUAUCCCUUUUCGCAAGAACUGCUGUGGAGGUGCUGCAUGGCUGUCGUCAGCUCGUGUCGUGAGAUGUUGGGUUAAGUCCCGCAACGAGCGCAACCCUUAUCGUUAGUUGCCAGCGAGUCAAGUCGGGCACUCUAGCGAAACCGCCUCGGAUAACGGGGAGGAAGGUGGGGAUGACGUCAAGUCCUCAUGGCCUUUAUGUCCAGGGCUACACACGUGCUACAAUGGCCGGUACAAACCGUCGCAAACUCGCGAGAGGGAGCUAAUCGGAGAAAGCCGGCCUCAGUUCGGAUUGGAGUCUGCAACUCGACUCCAUGAAGCUGGAAUCGCUAGUAAUCGCGGAUCAGCACGCCGCGGUGAAUACGUUCCCGGGCCUUGUACACACCGAUAGC